CAGCGGCCAGAUUGCAGCGCGCUAAGAAGACGUAUUCUUCGCGUACGCAGGUGCUAUCUGCCAUCCUCGCUCAUCUGCUCGCUGCUGCGGUGUGACUGCUUCUGCUGACACAUCGCCGGCCUGUGAAUUGCUGUGCUACGACUUUGCACCACCCACUAUCCAGCUGACAACCGUCAACGUGUCAGCUUUCAAGCUUCAAUCCACCGCUGUCUGCCUUCCUGUCGCCACUGCCGCUGCGCCUGGCCCUGAAUAGUGGAUGGACAGCGCCAUCGUCACCAACAUCAGCUACGCUGCCAACUACAAAUAAGCUGCAGCUGUCGGCCGCGCUUCGUGGGCUUGGUGGCUGCUUCGUGUCGUCACCUACAAACCCGCUACUUCUUGCUAUGCAGGUUGGUGUAUCACAACCCCUCUUUACUAAGAAGACAAGUAAUUACUUGUUGCUGCAGCUACCGAGCCCACGUUGCUGCUGUGCGACCGUUGUUGAGUGUGCUCACGUUGUUCACUUGUUGUUAGGGCUAUUAUCGUCGGACGUAGAGUCAAACCCCGGCCCUGAUGCGAUUCUCGUGGAACUACAAAAGCUUUCCGCGGGCCAGUCAUCACUAAUAAGCGAAGUGUGCCAAGCUCUCUGAAUCGUUUUCCAGGCGCCAAGCCCUCUGAAUUCGACGUUGUCGUUGCCACUUGGGUAUACAUAUCAACCCUAAAGAAAUUGACCAUGUGCAUCGCUCAGGCCGCCACACAGGUGAGAGAUGUAGGCCGAUAAUAGCAAAAUUCGCGUCCCACGAAACAAAAGACGGGAUCCUUUCAAACGGACGCAAGUUGUAAGGAACGCCCUGCAGCAUAGCCAAUGUCGUCUUCUCCACAAUCCACUACGGAUGUCAAAUCUCCCUGGGGAAUGUGCCAUUUCGAGUUGUGAAGGAAACAGUCAGUCUGCAAGUUCAGAAUGGAAUACUACAACAAGUCUCAGGGAGAAAAAGACCAGGAUUCAAGCACCACUGACCACUGACUGGCCGAAGGAGGUGUACGAGAAAACGUGAAUGAACCUCCAAGGCGCAAAAAAGAGGGUUCAUGAGACUUUCCCCCUUUCCGUAGAACGGCUAUGUAGUACGCACCAUACUAACUACUGAUGCACCAUACAUCAGGUCUCAUGUUUUCGUGACAUGAUGGGCAAAAACUAGACAGCUCAACAUUGAUUGCUUCGAGUUCCACGAUACUAAUGUACAUGUUGAGACUAAUUGAAAAAUACUAGCUGAUAAAUGCUAAGUUUAGAUGAUUGCCUAUUUUCUUGUGCAUUCCUGUUCCUUAUGCAUCCCCUUUUUAUAUACCCAUUCCCAUAGGGCGCCAUUGAAAAAAGUUUUAAGUCUGGAUAAUGAAACAGCUCCCUCAAGUCACUAGUAUCAGUAUGUAUACCUAAAACAUUUCACUGAAAGGGUAGUUCUCAUAAUUGCCCUCAAAAAUGGCCAGUUUGCCCAGCCUCUAAUUCAAGUUACAACUGUUGAAGUACUCUUGGUGAAAUUUCUCUAGU